CCUGAUGGCUCACAUGAAGUUUCGUGCCGUUCCGACCUCGUUUGAUACGGUUAUGGUUAACCACACGGCCCCUCGGGCCCGACCCGAGCCCAGUCAACGUUUUGACCCGAUCAAAUCGGCCCGUGACCCGAAACGACCCUACUUGGGCCCUACAACAGCCACGUAAAGUUUCGGGAUGAUCCGACGUUCUUUCAUGGGGUUACGGACAAUCCACGCCAAACAAGCGUCACGGGCCGACCGAGCCGGGCCAACGGGCCCUCGGGACCCGAAAACUGAAUUUUUUUUUCAUCCAAACCCAUUAAAACACGUUACCGAGGUCUCACGCAAAAUUUCAUGCCAAUCCGACGUCGUUUGAUGGGGUUUUGAGAUAUUAUGAUUCCUCAAAAAUUUAAUGUCUGUUCCUGUCACUUAGCUUUUUGUGCAAAAUGUAUAUAUAGGGGAGGGGUGGGUGUUGAGCAGCCCAUGCCCGGGCAAGGCAUGCCAGCGCCCAAGCCAAAGGAGGCUGGUGGCGUGCGUAUAACAGCUCAAAUGCCCCAACGAUGACCGAGAACAAGCGCCCAUCUCCCCUCCUUCCCCCCCACCAAGCGCCCCUCCCCCCCCAUGUUGCCUGCCCACUCGCACAGCUACUCGUGAUUUCAUGCCCAGCGACUAGUGAAUGUGCCUCGACGACCAGCAAACCUCGAAAAUUAUGAUUCCUCGUAAAAUUAAUGUCUGUUCCUGUCACUUUACUUUUUGUGCAAAAUGUAUAUAUAGGGGAGACCAGGGGCUUGAGCAACCCCUGUGCCCAAGCAAGGGUCAGAUGGAAGCACACGAGACGCGAGGUUUAAAGCCUAUACAAGCAAGGCGUCUGUCUCCCCAAGCCCCAUUGCCUAUAAAACAAGCCCGAUGCCUUGUAAAUGCCCCACACGAUGCCUAUAAACGACAACGAUGUUUGCUAGUUAAUCGAUCGACGCCCCACACCUUGCAGCAUGUUGCCUAGUAAACAAGCCAUGCUGCCUUGGAAGCGCCCCACAUCAUGGCAUGUUGCCUAGCACGCUGCCCUUGUUUCCAGCACGGCGACCUGAAAGCGUGGCCUGACGACGUGCUUGCCUUCGAAAAUUAUGAUUCCUCAAAAAAUUAAUGUCUGUUCCUGUCACUUUACUUUUUGU
rnacentral:rRNA from 1 species